ensembl:rRNA 5S_rRNA 5S ribosomal RNA
GUCUACAGCCAUACCACCUUGAACACCCAAUCUCAUUUCAUCUUGGAAGCUGAUGAGCAGGGUCCAGCCUGGUUUAGUACUUGGAUGGGAGACUGAAGAACAAGAAAUUUAGAGC